rnacentral:rRNA from 1 species
CCAAUAGCGUAUAUUAAAGUUGUUGCAGUUAAAAAGCUCGUAGUUGAAUUUCGGAAUCUGUCCGUUGGUCGGGCUUCAUUGUCCGUACUGGUGUGAUGGGUUCUUACCUUCUGAAUAACCAGCAUGCCAUUUAUUUGGUGCGCUGGGGAAGCAGGACUAUUACCUUGAAAAAAUUAGAGUGCUCAAAGCAGGCUAGUGCCUGAAUACAUUAGCAUGGAAUAAUAAAAUAGGACGGCAUGGUUCUAUUUUGUUGGUUUCUAGGAUCACCGUAAUGAUUAAUAGGGAUAGUUGGGGGCAUUAGUAUUCAAUUGUCAGAGGUGAAAUUCUUGGAUUUAUUGAAGACUAACUUCUGCGAAAGCAUUUGCCAAGGAUGUUUUCAUUAAUCAAGAACGAAAGUUAGGGGAUCGAAGACGAUCAGAUACCGUCGUAGUCUUAACCAUAAACUAUGCCGACUAGGGAUCGGACGAUGUUAAUUUUUUAAUGACUCGUUCGGCGCCUUACG